UAUGCGACAUAAACUCCAAUAUUUAUGAGUUGAAACAAAAACUGGGGAUAAGAGGUGGGGAUGACCUUGCACUGCUACUUUUUGUUCUUGGUGUUGCUGGGAGUUGUUAGUGUGGCCUUCGGGCUGAAGCAUGUCCCAAGGGUAUGGCUGUUCGCCAUUUAAAGAGGUGCGCGAGUUGGGUUUAGAAUGUUGUGAGACAGUUCGGUCCCUACCUGUCGUGGGCGUUGGAGAUUUGAGAGGAGCUACUCCUAGUACGAGAGGACCGGAGUGGACGAACCUCUGGUGUUCCGGUUGUCAUGCCAAUGGCAUUGCCGGGUAGCUAUGUUCGGAAGGGAUAACCGCUGAAAGCAUCUAAGCGGGAAGCCUCCCUCAAGAUGCAAUCUCCUUGGGAAUUAAAUUCCCCUGAAGGGUUGUUGUUGUAGACUACAACAUUGAUAGGCUGGGUGUGGAAGCGC
rnacentral:ncRNA from 1 species